rnacentral:rRNA from 1 species
GGACUACUGGGGUAUCUAAUCCGUUUUGCUCCCCACGCUUUCAUGCCUCAAUGUCAGUAACAGAAUAGUUAACUGCCUUCGCCAAUUGAUGUUCUUUUAUAUAUCUACGCAUUUUACCGCUCCACAUAAAGUUCCGUUAACCUCUUCUGCACUCAAGCUCGACAGUAUUACUGACUUCCACGAGGUUGGGCCCCGAUUUCCCACCAGUAACUUACCGAACCAUCUACGCAUCCUUUACGCCCAAUAAUUCCGGAUAACGUUCGCGACCUAUGUCUUACCGCGGCGGCUGGCAC